GCUCUCUCGGUGUCUCAGGGAGAUAUAAUAUAUAAAUAUUAUACAUAUGUAUAUAUAUUAGGGCUGUCAAUCGAUUAAAAAAAAUUAACUAAUUAAUCGCACAUUUUGAAAUUGCGAUUAAUUAAUCGCGAUUAAUCGCGAUUAAUCUCGCUUAAAAGUGUUUUCCUUCUUUUUAAAGACAAAACUUCACACAAAGCUGUGUUUUCAAAGAGGCUCCUACAUAUACAGUGCCAGCGAGGUAUUUAAUAUCGUGGAUGAUAAAUUUUUUCUUCAGUGAAACAUCAGAUUAGUAAAAAAAAAAAAGUAUAUAGAGACCCCAUUGGUCCUGUCAUCUUUACCACUGAACAGCAGAACCAGUGGCCUUGGUAACUGACUGACAUUCACAUAUGUCACGUUCACCCUCUGGAGGCUGGGGGCAUUUUAUACAUUUUACAAAAUAAAUUAAAUUCACCGUUUAAAGUCUUUUGCAUGUGACACAUACCCACGUGUUCUACAUCAAAUAUUCCAGAACAAUCUCAGCUCUGAAAUUCAAUUCAAUUCAAUUCAGUUUAUUUGUAUAGCCCAAUUUCACAAAUUACAAAUUUGUCUCAGAGUGCUUUACAAUCUGUACACAUAGACAUCCCUGCCCCAAAACCUCACAUCGGAUCAGGAAAAACUCCCAAAUAACCCUUCAGGGGGGAAAAAAGGGAAGAAACAUUCAGGAGAGAACAGAGGAGGAUCCCUCUCCAGGAUGGACAGAUGCAAUAGAUGUAAUGUGUACAGAAGGAAAUGAGGCUCAUUGUCCUCACGCCGUGUUCUCUGGUUCUCUGACUGACAGGCUGCUAAAUGAGCCUAACCUGUGAGGUGGGAGGUCCUUUGUGAUUUACUGAGUGUUCAUUGGUUGUUCUUUUACCGAAAUGUUGACAGACAAACGGAUUGACCAAUCACGUUGAAGGUUUCGUGUGUCGCGUUCUUUCCGCGCCGCGUCACCCGACACGUCGCCCCUCCGUUCCUCUGUGUAUCAGAGGGGGAGACGGGAGGAAGGAGGAGCAGGAGGAAACCCGACUGAUUCAUCCACGAGUUAAACUGAUUUAUGAUCCUUAUUUUCGCGGAGAAAUAAUUGUUUUAAAAACGGAAACAGUGUCAAACCGUACUGCCGCGGUUUAAAAAACAACAACAACAACAACAACAAACAUUUGCGUGAAUUGCGUUCAAAUAUUUUAGUGCGUUAACGCGGCCAAAUUAAUCGCAUAGAUUAACGCGUUAACGCUGACAGCCCUAAUAUAUAUACAUAUAUAUAAAUAUGUAUAUGUAUGUAUAUAUACACAGGUAGCCUCACUCAACUGUGCUCUCUCGGUGUCUCAGGGAGAUAUAAUAUAUAAAUAUUAUACAUAUGUAUAUAUAUACAUAUAUAUAAAUAUGUAUAUGUAUGUAUAUAUACACAGGUAGCCUCACUCACCUGCACUCAAAAAACUGAUUCUUGGCCCUCAUAAACAUUAAACAAUAUUUUUAAGUAAAACGUAACUGAAAUAUAUAAAAUCUAAAGUGUAUUCAUUAAAACCACUUAAACACAAUGUAAAUAUGCUUCGUAUAACCUGAACAUAAACAAAUCAAGUAAACGUUACUUGAUUGGAUCACAGAAGGAGCAUCUGUGCGUGCAGGAAACACUUCACCACGUGACCUCUUGAGAGUGGACUUGUCAUUCUGACCGACAGAGCGACCGAGCGUGACAAAGUUAUUAGGUACACCAUUCAAGCCAAAUCCACAAAGCAUCUUUCAUCCUGUGGCAACCUCUCAUUUUAGGUGGAGGAUGUCAAAUACACAGCCAACAUAACUAAGGUCGUCAGCAACAGAGGAGGAGCUGCUGGAAGGAAGAUCCGACUCCUCAUGGCUCCAACAGCUAAGACAAGUGCAUUGACUGGUUACGUUUUUAAGCAAAGUCAAAUCUUGUGAUAAAAUCCAUUUUAACACUGGUUUUAACAGAGUUCCCGCAUCCUUGAAAACCUAGAAUUGUAUUUAUGCAGUCUGUACAAUUGCUCUGGAGUGGGGUUUAAGAAACCUUGACCUAAGAGUGGAAAUAUUCGAGAUUGUAAGUUCCUAGUUGGAAACAUGUUUUGCCCCGGGAUAAGUGUAAAGUCUCAAGGACUUUUGACUUCUAAUAGGUCAUACACAUCAGACAAGUGGGCAAUAUGUCUUCUCUUUCUCAAGGCUUGGGUCUUGAGGAGUAGUAGCAUUUAUUUACUGGCAAAUAAACUACACACUACACUGUUAUGUUCACUGCUAUAACUUUACUGCUGACUUCUCUCUGUUUUAACAUUUAAUAGCUAAACUGGAUAUAUAUUGCAGAUGUCCGUAAGUUAAUUAUUUUCUGGUCAAAAAGAACAUUUCAGAUAUCCACUGACAUUCUUCCUAGGAAGAAUUACCUCGCUUUUGCCAUUCAUGUGUUAUGGGCUUUUUAUUUUUAGAUAUCCAUAAUUGCAUUUUUUUUAAUAGUCUUACGAGGGGGAAAACUCACAUUUCACUCGUAUCGACGGGAAAACGGUAUUCGAAGCAACAUCGACCUUGGCUCAGGAGUACAUUGCGCACAGUCCAGUCUGACACUAGUGGCUUUGUUAGUCUGGUUAUAAACAAACAGAAUAUUAUUUUAAUCAUUUUGUCAUAGCUUAUUACUUAUGAAAUACAAGUUGGAUUUAGCGCUGUGAUGCUGACAAAGGCAAGUGUAGGAUACUUUUUAAUUUGCCAGAACAUGUCAUAAGGACAAAUGCCUUCUUUCAAGUGUCAUAGUAAUCCCUUGGGUGAGAAUAAAAGGGUUAUGAGCAAUGUCCUGAAAAAUAUCUUAAAGUGGAUACUCAAAAUUGUAUUGUGCCUUCUUUUGCAGAGUGAGGACAUUGACCUCAAGAGGGAGUGUGUCCUCUGUGUGUCUCCCUCAAUGAGGACAGCAACACUCUCAUCAAGGAGUACUUGAACGUCAACAGUGAGGAAGCUGAGCGAGAGAUCGUGCAGACCACCAUGGGCCUUUACAGGAUGAUCAGAGAAGGUGCUGAUAAAGAGGACGAGCCAAAGGACUUUGGAGUGGUGAUCGAAGGUGUGGAGCUGCUAUGCAAUCUGAGAGGCGUUGCCUUUGGACGUGCCAUGCUCUUUGGCCUAAUUUACACUCUCAACCUGAGCUAUCCCCGAGAACUCAAAUUCACUUGAGUUCAUCCAGAAAGUGUUGAUGAACUUGGAUGGAAAGAAGUUGUCCCCAAAGGUCCAAACACUUAAAAUCAAGAUGCUUCAAUGAGCUCACAUGGUCAGCACUGGAGAGUUGAGCUAGCCACAUUUUGGCAUGUUGGACAUUGAUAUAUUGACCUGGUAAGACUGUACAGAAGCUAGUGACUUCCUAGUUUGUGGUACUGAUGUCAAGUUCACUGGAAAAGCUGUUAUGUGUUCUAAUUGUUGCAUUACCCAGGUUUAUCAAUACUGGUAUCCAUUUUAUUAAUGAUUAAUCCAUUUUGUAUUUUAUUAUUCAUCAUAAUCACAACUCUAAUUUUAAAGUUGUUGAUGUCAUAAUGCAUGGCUAGACUGGAUAUAUUGUAUACCUGUUUAACACUUCAUGACUAAAAUGUUGUGUUCUAAUUGUUCCAUUACCCAGGUUUACCAAUACUGGUAUCAGUUUUAUUAAUAAUUAAUCCAUUUUGUAUUACUAUUCAUCAUAAUGAUCAUAAUCACAACUCUAAUUUUUAAGUUGUUGGUGUCAUAUUGUGACUGUUUGUAUACCUGUUUAACACUUUUUUGGUAUUCGUCAAUAAAGCCUUCUGAAUUGUC